rnacentral:rRNA from 1 species
GACGAACGUUGGCGGCGUGCUUAAUACAUGCAAGUCCACUGAAGCAGUGGUAGCAAUAUCGCUGUGGAGGUGGCGCACGGGUGAGUAACACGUAGGUAAUCUGCCUUCAGGUCUGGCAUAACUCCGGGAAACCGGGGCUAAUAGCAGAUGAUGCAGCGGCUCGACAUCGAGACAGUUGUUAAAGCUAUGGCGCCUGUAGAUGAGCCUGCGUCUGAUUAGCUAGUUGGCGGGGUAACGGCCCACCAAGGCAACGAUCAGUAGCUGGUCUGAGAGGAUGAUCAGCCACACUGGAACUGAGACGCGGUCCAGACUCCGACGGGGGGCAGCAGUAAGGAAAAUUGCUCAAUGGGAGAAAUCCUGAAGCAGCAACGCCGCGUGAGGGACGAAGGGCUUUUGCUUGUAAACCUCUGUAGGGAGAGAAAAAAAUCCCAAUCUUUGGGACAUGAUGGUAUCUCAAAAGUAAGCCCCGGCUAACUACGUG